UGGCCGCGGUAUUUUGACCGUGCGAAGGUAGCAUAAUCAUUAGUCUGUUAAAUGUAGUCUGGAAUGAAGGGUUUGACGGGGAGUAGCUUUCUUAUUUUUAUUCUUGAAUUUGAAUUAUUAGUAAAAAUGCUAAUAUUUUUUAGGGGGACGAGAAGACCCUAUAGAGCUUUAUAAUAUAAUGCUUUUUUGUGGUGAAGUUUAGCAUGAUUUAUUUUGUUGGGGCGACAACAGGUAGAAAACAUCUGUAUAUUUGUCUUUUUAAUAGGUUAUAUGAUCCAUUAUUAGUGAUAAAAGACUAAGUUACCUUAGGGAUAACAGCGUAAUUUUGUUAUAGAGUUCAUAUCGAUAACAAAGAUUGCGACCUCGAUGUUGGAUUAGAAUUCCUUUUUUAUGGCGCAGGAGUUUUUAAAGGUAGUCUGUUCGACUAUUUAAUUUCUACA
rnacentral:rRNA from 1 species